GGGUCCAUAGCUCAGUCAGGUAGAGCAGCUGCCUUUUAAGCAGAUGGUCACAGGUUCGAUCCCUGUUGGACCCACCA
rnacentral:tRNA from 1 species